rnacentral:lncRNA from 13 species
GAUUUACAGAGUCACCUCCCCAUUUAGCUGUUUUUCUGCCAUGAACCUCCCAGGCUUAUCCUGGUUCUCCACAAGGCUAGCUUGGUAGAAACCCAGUGCCCUUAGACCGUAGGGGGAUACAAUAUCCAUUUCUUUAGUAAAAAAAAAAAGACAGGCGCUGCUGAUUCUACUGUCAUCAUCAUCGUUGAGGCAGAGGACAUGUACGUGUAGCCUGACGCUGACGUGUCAUUACUCUUUUUGGCCAGACGUCAUCAGAUACAUGGGCUAUGUAUAGUAACACAGAGGGGCGCUGUUUCGCUCGGAUGCCUUCUCUGGAGAGAUCGUUUCAGCCACCUCGAAUUGUAGGAAAGCUGGCGGGUGCACAGCUCACUGUUCGAAUGCUGGAAUUAUUCUGGAUGAAUGUGUGAAGAGCCAGCGGACCAUUCAACAAUAAAGCAUUAUCCAGACCAUCAAGGGAGGCGGGACAGCGAUGGGAUUUUGGAAGUAUGGCAACGCGAGAUUACUACUAAACUAAACAUGUGGAAUUGUUUAAAGAUCAUCACACCAAAGUCAAUUCAGACAUUUGAUUGUGAAUUUUAGGAACCCUGUUACCUUCAGAUGAGUCCCCUGACACUUCUGGGGGUCGUAGAGCAGAAAGGAGAACACCAUCAUGUUCAUAAGAGAAUCAUAUAUAUUUUUUAGGCCAAACAGUUGGGAAACUAUAUACGUUAUAGACGUUUUCGCGAGAAGACAGAUUUUCUACAUUCCUCCAUGUCUGACAAAUCAUUUGAAUAUAUAUUUUUCUUUCUACCCAACUCAUGAGGCCUCUCGAUGUGAGGGCUGAGGUAAUCUGCUUUAUGGUAAACCAUCUGCUAAACCACUAUCCACCAGCCCCCCUUCUAACAUCUAAUCUACAGCACUGACACAGUCCACUCCCCUUCUAACUUCUAUAAUCUACAACACUGACACUGUCCACUCCCCU